UCAUCCUUCAGCACAAAACAAACAAAAAACCCCUCCUCUUUCUGAUUAGAGAAACUGAGCAGAGGAUGUCUGGUAACUAUGGGUGAGUUUCUUCAGCGAACCUUCUCUGGAGACCUUCCACGUGCCAGAGAUAGGAGGGUGGACGAGCCACAGUCCUUGCCUUCCAGGACAGCCCACCAGCUCCUCUUAAAAUAAACAAGAAAACCACCGCCAGCAAUCCUCUGUGCUCCUUCCUCUUCUGCUGACCCGAUGAAGAAGACCUGGCACCCUGGGCAUGACAGAUCCUCUGCCAGCAGAGUUCUACAAGCAGCUCUGUCCCAGCCAUUGGGUAAUUUAGAAUCUGCUCACUUCGGUGGCUGACCCUAAAGAAGGUGAAGUGUGAAAUGGUCGAACUGGGCCACAGCACGAAGACCUAAAGUCUCCUUCUGGGAAAAGGAGAAUGGAGCGCAUUUCUUAUGUCCCUGAGUUACUGAUUGUUGGAGGAGGUGCGGCAUCUCAGUUACCCUUCUCCCCCGUGGUGAAGUUAGCAACCUGUGUUACAGGGGAAGAUGGGAUAAGGAACGUGCCAACUCAGGUGUGUAGAGACCUGAUGAAAGUGAUGCAAAUCAGGUGUGUCUGAUACCAAGGUCCAUGCUCUCGGCCACCGUUUGGGCCACUUCCAAAGCCAAGCAGCCCUGGCCAGGGGAGCACUGUGGGGUUCUGACCCUCCCUGAGCAUGUCUGUCCGAAGGAGGGGUGCAGGGGGCAGUCCCAUCCCCUCCAGGAGACAGCCUGCCCGAAACCCCUCCCUGUCCAUCAAACUGCUGGGCUGGCAAGGCCCGGGGGUUUCUGCGCCCGCAAGGACACGCCAAGGGCAGGUGCAGGUGCGGGUGGAGUCCGGGGACCCGGAAGGGACCGUGCAGCUAGCUCCCCGGCGUCGUGCCCAGCAGGCGGCAGACGGAUCUCAGGCGCAGACAGACAGCCACCCCUCCGGGGUCGCGGCCAGGGCCCCGGGAAAGCCAGCGCGGGAGCACGAAGGGCUCCUGCAGAGGAUGCUGCGCCGAUGAGGGCCGUCGUCGCACUGGGAGCCCCCGGAGCCCCCGGUCCGUGGCUACGACCGUGACCCGCUUCACUUCUGCUCUCGAGGGGCCCAGGCUGGUGGCAAAGACAGUCCGGCGAAGAAUCCUCACAAUGCCAAAGGCCAUCUCCUUCAAAAACAGUGGACACGAGAGCAAAACGGAGGGAAGGAAGAUGUCAUGCUGCCUGGGAAGCAGCCGCUAGGGCAGGAGGGACGCUGCUGCCAAGGGGACCCACCGUGUCCCCUUCCACGCCUGCUGGGGGGGGCGUCACCCCGUGUGUGGUCAGCUGUCCAGUGUUUGUUCUCCCUCCUUCUCCUUGGGAGACCCUGCCGUGGGCACAGAAGUGGCCCUGCUGGACACCUGCCCCUCCCCUGGCCAUCGUGACCCGACCCUUAGCCCACAAAGGGCUCAGACACUUGGCCCAGCCUCUCCCCGCUCCCUGCUGGGAUCAGCCCCUUGAAAAUGAAACUGUUGAAAGGUCACGGCCUUGAGCGGAGAGGUUGGGGCUCCAGCAGGAGCCCGCGGUGAAUCCACUUAAGAAAGCUGGGGUCUCUGCAUCUAUUGACAGGAUCAUAUGGUGCUUUUUUUUUCUCUUGCUGAUAUGAUCAGUGGAGGGUCCUCAAAGAGUUAAAAAUAGACCUGCCCUACGA